UGGGGGAUAUUGCACAAUGGGCGAAAGCCUGAUGCAGCGACGCCGCGUGGGGGAUGAAGGCCUUCGGGUUGUAAACUUCUUUUGCUCUGAACAAGGCGCACCAUGGGGUGUGUUGAGUGUAGGGGUUGAUUAGCGCCGGCUAACUACGUGCCAGCAGCCGCGGUAAUACGUAGGGCGCGAGCGUUGUCCGGAAUUAUUGGGCGUUAAGGGCUUGUAGGUGGCUGGUUGCGUCUGUCGUGAAAGCUCAUGGCUUAACUGUGGGUUUGCGGUGGGUACGGGCUGGCUUGAGUGCAGUAGGGGAGGCUGGAAUUCCUGGUGUAGCGGUGGAAUGCGCAGAUAUCAGGAGGAAUACCGGUGGCGGAGGCGGGUCUCUGGGCUGUUACUGACACUGAGGAGCGAAAGCAUGGGGAGCGAACAGG
rnacentral:rRNA from 1 species